UACGUAGGGGGCAAGCGUUGUCCGGAUUUAUUGGGCGUAAAGAGCGUGUAGGCGGCCUGGCAGGUCCGUUGUGAAAACCCGAGGCUCAACUUGGGAACUGCAUUCGAGACUGCGUUGCUAGAGUAUGGGAGAGGGAAGUGGAAUUUCAGGUGUAGCGGUGAAAUGCGUAGAUAUCUGAAGGAACAUCAGUGGCGAAAGCGACUUCCUGGACCAAUACUGACGCUCAUGUGCGAAAGCGUGGGGAGCAAACAGG
rnacentral:rRNA from 1 species